GCGGCGGCUCCCGGGACCGAGAGUGCAACCGGCGGCUCCCCGGGGAGUCCGAUUGUGCAGUGAAUGUCCAUAAGAACUGCAAGAAUUUACUGGCUGAAUGCAGCAGCAUCAGACCCAGGAAAGAUUUGCAGCACAGACCUUCUGGAUCUCCACAAAGUUCGUCCCAGUGCAUUUCCCCAGUUGGUCUAUUUGGUUGCUUUGCUGGCUAUCAGAAACACAACUGAUGAGAAUGUCUGGGUAUUGCAUACAUCUUUGUUAGGUAUCCUCUGACUUGCAUUUCAAGCUUCUACUUCUUUAGGAAAUGAUCCUUACUGAGAGAUAGCACAAAGGGAAGAAUUGUUAUAAUAAG
rnacentral:lncRNA from 1 species